AAGGGACCCUUAAAGGCCAUCUGUCCCACUCCCUGUACUGAACAGGGACACCCACAGCUCCAUCAGUGCUCAGAGCCCUGUCCAGUCUGACCUUGGCAGUCUGCAGGGACGGGGCACCCACCAUCUCUCUGUACUGGGGACUGCACAUCUGGAUGCAGCACUCCAGGUGAGGUCUCACAGCACAGAGCAGAGGGUCAGGGUCCACUCCCUUACCCUGCUGGCCACAUUGCUUUGGGUGCAGCCAAGAACAUCGUUGGCUUUCUGGGCUGCGAGAGCCCAGAACUAAUUACCGAAUUACUGAUAAAUUGAUAACUGAGAGUUAUUAAACUCUCAGUCUCCAAAAUAGUUUGGUUGCAUAUAAACUGUUUAUUUUGAACUGUUCUGUUAACUCUCAAAACCCACUCAAGAAUUGUUCUGGAACUAGAAAACAUUGCAAGGAGCCUUUGAAUGAUUCAGCAGCAUGGAUGGUAUGGUUCAGGAGCCUAUGCUUAUGCCAUUCUCCUUGGAGGCAUUCAAGGCCAGGCUGGAUGUGGCUCUGGGCAGCCUGGUGGGGUGGUUGGCGACCCUGCACAUAGCAGGGGGUUGAAACUAGAGAAUAACUGUGGUCCUUUUCAACCCAGGUCAUGCUGUGAUUCUAUGAUUCUCCUGCCUAAUUUACUCAUGAAAGUUGUACUGGAGUGGAAGCUCAGUAUGAGAGAAUACCAUCAGGCAACACCAUGUCUGUGAUAUAUCUGUUGGAGUUCCAGAUGUGGAAAGGCUGAUAAACCCACUGGAUACUGUCUACUACCUUAGGGAAGUAAGGAAAAAGAAAAAGGGACUCCAAUAUAAGGGUUCUGCCAUCUUUAAUAGUAGAAAAAUGCCCUAGAGAAGAGCUCCUAAAUAGGUGGGAGAAAAUAUUUUACCAUCUGAGAUUUGAAGAUCUCUGAAAAUGAAGACACAACAGCAAUAGAUUUUCAAGGAGAAACUACCUUGAAGUAACAGAGUGUUUAAUUUAUCAAAUAAGAACAUAAUAAAAACCUAUGGCUGAAAGGUGGAAGGAGAGACAUUCAAAUGAAGAAUCAGGCAUGUAUUUUUAACCAUGUGAGCAUAUGUAACCGUAACAGAUUGCCAGGGAAAGGGAUGGAGUUCCUAAUAUUCUGUGUCUUCACAUCAUGUAUAGGCAACUUCCUGAAGAAGCACUGAUCAAGACAUUUGCCACCAAACCAAAGCCAGAAUGGAAUGUUAAUGUUCUCUGAGAAUGAUUGGAUUAGAAAACCUAACACAUCUUCAUGCCAUGAGGAUCUGCAAAGUCUUCUCUCUUAUUCCAGUGGCAUAAAGUAUGAACAUGGUCCCUCAGCAACUUUGGUGAGAUAGAAGGGAUAAAGCAAAGGCAGGAAGGAUUCAGGAAAAGAAGCAGAGUGAAAAUUUAGGAUGACAGGAAAAAAGGCUUCAUUUGAGAGAUCAGAAUCUCCCUUUCUUUCCCGUGACUGUUUCCUUGUACUCUCCUUGGCAAAACACUUAGAAGAGGUAAUGCUGAUCCUUCUUAGUAAACUAAAUAGCUCCAGAACGUAUUCACAAGCACUGAAAUCUGAUAAUCUAUAAUAUUAAACUGUGCAAAUAGGAGGAAUUUGGCUUUGGGUAUCUAGCCAUCACCCAAACCGUUAGCAAAUCUGGAAAAUUCAAGGACCCAUGCAUACUCCUUGCUUGUGGAGUUAAGGGAGUUCAAUACUGUGGACAUGGGUCAUUCUAUGCCACCUAGUCUCAGUGCCAGAGAAUUAGUUUAAGCGUGUUUAAUUUACUAGUACAGACACAAUUCUUGUUUCCUGAAGCUGUGGUAAUUACCUAAGGAGAUAUAAGCCAGUUUGAGUUAACUUACUGUAUACUUAAUAGUUUUUUGGAAAAGAUAAAGGAUUGAAGAUAAAAGUCUGGGACUUUGCUCAUGCUUGACAUUCUUCUCAGAACUCUGAAGAUAUGUACUAGACUACAAUUUUUGUUUGAAAGUCAUCUGAACAGUUUUGCAAGGUUUCAUCAUCUUGUAUUGUCUGACUGCUGGAAUACACCCACUGAAGUACGAAUCUCCCACAUUUUUUACCUGGAAAAAAUUCUGCACAACCAUUGUAAGGCCUUUUUCCCAAGGUGGCAAAAUCUUAAGCCCAGGAAAGGAAAGCAAGAUUCAUUUCCUUCAAGUGAGGAGCUCUCUGACUUCGAGCUAUCCUUAUGUGUGCUCAUCCAUGUGAGAAGAAGAGGUGAUCUACAGGGACUAUUCAAGUGAGGAGCUCCAGAUAUUUGAACCAAGACCUUCCUAAUUAUUGUCUAAUAGAUAGAUCGUGAAAUCACCCAUCAUAAGUAGCUGGAAUUGUUGACCGUUAAUUCAGAGCUAAUAUUUUGAAGCAUGAGGUUUUGCAAGCUGAGCCAUAUUUCUUGCAGGUCAGACUUAGCCCCUUCAGAUAUUUUCCCUUCCCUUCCCUUCCCUUCCCUUCCCUUCCCUUCCCUUCCCUUCCCUUCCCUUCCCUUCCCUUCCCUUCCCUUCCCUUCCCUUCCUUCCCUUCCCUUCCCUUCCCUUCCCUUCCCUUCCCUUCCCUUCCCUUCCCUUCCCUUCCCUUCCCUUCCCUUCCCUUCCCUUCCCUUCCCUUCCCUUCCCUUCCCUUCCCUUCCCUUCCCUUCCCUUCCCGUGCUGUAACACAACAGAAAAAGUAGGAACCUAAUGUUAUGAUCUUUUAUGGUGUAGAAUUCAGAGGGAACUCAGAGGCUGCUGUAAAAGAAGAGUACUGCAGUUUCUGUGCUGGAGUGGUUGGAAUGGAGAGCACAUGCAUUGUGCAUGUGUACACAUGCAAGCGUGUGCAUAUGUGUGUAUAGCCACAAGCACGGUGAGUAGUUGCUAAAUGUCAAGCUCCACGUGGCAUGGGAAGACAAUUAUUUUAGAUUUCUUUAGAUUUUUUUUCUGAGCUCAAUUGAACACGUUUUGUCUGAACUGCCACUAACCAACCAGAAGCUUCAGAAGCCAUUGUAUAAAAGGACACAUGCAACCUGGUAGAUCAUAGAAUCAUAGAAUGGCUUGGGUUGGAAGGAACCCCAAGGAUCAUCAUGUUCCAAUCAAGUAGAUUCUUGAUCAUGAUCUUUUUCCAGCAACUUUCACAAAUCCUUUGUAAAUAAUGUCUUUAUAAAUCAACAGAUUGCCCACAGUUCAUGAUGAAGGAAAUCAGUCCAUAUACUUUCUGAAUCCAACAUAUGAAGAUCAUUGCUGUUCAAACUUGGCCCUGACCUUGAGAUACGAGACCUUCCUGUGGGUUGCUGAAGGAGACCCAUAUCGAUGGCAGGAGCUGUAGAGCAUGUUGUCUUGCAGGUAGUACUCCAUAACAUGGCUCCUGGAACAUAUUCACCAAAUGUCUCUACAUCCAUAAAGGACAGCACGGAUGGAAACAUCAGGAGAUAAUGCAAAGAAGGAAACAAAAAAAA
ensembl:lncRNA